rnacentral:rRNA from 1 species
AUUGAACGCUGGCGGCAGGCCUAACACAUGCAAGUCGAAUGGUAACAGGAAACAGCUUGCUGUUUCGCUGACGAGUGGCGGACGGGUGAGUAAUGUCUGGGAAACUGCCUGAUGGAGGGGGAUAACUACUGGAAACGGUAGCUAAUACCGCAUAACGUCGCAAGACCAAAGAGGGGGACCUUCGGGCCUCUUGCCAUCAGAUGUGCCCAGAUGGGAUUAGCUAGUAGGUGGGGUAACGGCUCACCUAGGCGACGAUCCCUAGCUGGUCUGAGAGGAUGACCAGCCACACUGGAACUGAGACACGGUCCAGACUCCUACGGGAGGCAGCAGUGGGAAUAUUGCACAAUGGGCGCAAGCCUGAUGCAGCCAUGCCGCGUGUAUGAAG